AAACGUAGGUGGCGAACGUUAUCCGGAUUCACUGGGCGUAAAGAGUGCGUAGGCGGUUCGUUAAGUCGGAUGUAAAAUCUCCAGGCUCAACUGGGAGGGACCAUCCGAUACUGGCGAGCUUGAGUGCAUCAGAGGAGAAUGGAAUUCCCGGUGUAGUGGUGGAAUGCGUAGAUAUCGGGAGGAACACCAGUGGCGAAAGCGGUUCUCUGGGAUGUUACUGACGCUGUUGCACGAAAGCGUGGGGAGCAAACAGGAUCAGAUACCCUGGUAGUCCACGCUGUAAACUAUGGACACUGGGUACAGGGAGUAUCGACCCUCUCUGUGCCGAAGCUAACGCGUUAAGUGUCCCGUCUGGGGACUACGGCCGCAAGGUUAAA
rnacentral:rRNA from 1 species